GACGAACGCUGGCGGCGUGCCUAAUACAUGCAAGUCGAACGAAUCACUUCGGUGGUUAGUGGCGAACGGGUGAGUAAUACGUAAGCAACCUGCCUAUGGGACUGGGAUAACGUUUGGAAACGGACGCUAAUACCGGAUAGGUAAAGAGGAGGCAUCUCUUCUCUAUUAAAGUUUAGAUACACCGAUAGAUGGGCUUACGGCGCAUUAGCUAGUUGGUGAGGUAACGGCUCACCAAGGCGAUGAUGCGUAGCCGGACUGAGAGGUUGAACGGCCACAUUGGGACUGAGACACGGCCCAAACUCCUACGGGAGGCAGCAGUAGGGAAUUUUCGGCAAUGGGGGAAACCCUGACCGAGCAACGCCGCGUGAGUGAAGACGGCCUCGGUU
rnacentral:rRNA from 1 species